CUAUUAGGGUUGGUGCAAAAGCAAUCACAGUUUUUGCCAUUACUUUCCAUGGCAAAACCCAUAAUUACUUUUGCACCGACCUGAUAUCAC
rnacentral:miRNA from 1 species